UCAGGUGUUGUUGCCCAUUUGACAGAGAGGUCUCUUCCUUGGUAGGUUUGUUUGCCAUCAGGUGUUGUUACCCAUUUGACAGAGAGGUCUCUUCCUUGGUAGGUUUGUUUACCAUCAGGUGUUGUUGCCCAUUUGACAGAGAGGUCUCUUCCUUGGUAGGUUUGUUUACCAUCAGGUGUUGUUGCCCAUUUGACAGAGAGGUCUCUUCCUUGGUAGGUUUGUUUACCAUCAGGUGUUGUUGCCCAUUUGACAGAGAGGUCUCUUCCUUGGUAGGUUUGUUUGCCAUCAGGUGUUGUUGCCCAUUUGACAGAGAGGUCUCUUCCUU